GAUUUAGAAGUUGAUUUUUGCGGAGUGAGGAAAACCGGAGAACCCGGAGAAAAACCCUCGAAGCACAGGAGAGAACCAACAAACAACUCUACUCACAUACGAAACCGAGCACGGCGGGGAUCGAACUCGGGUCACAUUAGUGAGAGGCGGCGCAAUAGCAGUGAACGCCACACUUUGUUCUGCACUUACAAAGCAAGACAACUCAUAAUUCUUGAGACCUCGAUCACGCAGCAUCAUUUGCAGAUAAAGGGUAUUUGAACAUGGAUUCCAGACUCAUCGCUGUCUUUCUUUUGUGUGCCAUCCUUGUCGUCUCCGCUACCUCCAGCCGUGAUGAACUGUCACGGGAUGAUUUCGAGAGAGAUGAGGAAUACGGAGAAGAACGGCCUUAUUUCAAACGAGUAUGUAAAGACAGGUUUCCUGCCGGUACUUGCAAACAUGUGGUAAAAAACAGGAACUGUAGAUCGCAAAAAUACGCAAUGAACUGUGCUAAAUCAUGUCGUAAAUGCUAAACAAAUACCACUGACGAACAAAUAAGGAAGCCGAUAAAACAAUAAAAGUAGAUCUAAUAAAGCAAUUGUCGUCAAUCUA